UAGGGAAUCUUCCGCAAUGGGCGAAAGCCUGACGGAGCAACGCCGCGUGAGUGAAGAAGGAUUUCGGUUCGUAAAGCUCUGUUGUUAGGGAAGAAUGAUUGUAUAGUAACUAUAUACAGUAGAGACGGUACCUAACCAGAAAGCCACGGCUAACUACGUGCCAGCAGCCGCGGUAAUACGUAGGUGGCAAGCGUUGUCCGGAAUUAUUGGGCGUAAAGCGCGCGCAGGUGGUUUAAUAAGUCUGAUGUGAAAGCCCACGGCUCAACCGUGGAGGGUCAUUGGAAACUGUUAAACUUGAGUGCAGGAGAGAAAAGUGGAAUUCCUAGUGUAGCGGUGAAAUGCGUAGAGAUUAGGAGGAACACCAGUGGCGAAGGCGGCUUUUUGGCCUGUAACUGACACUGAGGCGCGAAAGCGUGGGGAGCAAACAGGAUUAGAUACCCUGGUAGUCCACGCCGUAAACGAUGAGUGCUAAGUGUUGGUCUCAUAAGAGAUCAGUGCUGCAGCUAACGCAUUAAGCACUCCGCCUGGGGAGUACGACCGCAAGGUUG
rnacentral:rRNA from 1 species